GGAGAGGUGGCCGAGCGGUUGAAGGCGCACGCUUGGAAAGCGUGUAUGCGGGGCAACUCGUAUCUGGGGUUCGAAUCCCCAUCUCUCCGCCA
rnacentral:tRNA from 1 species